AUACGGAGGAUCCGAGCGUUAUCCGGAUUUAUUGGGUUUAAAGGGUGCGCAGGCGGCCAUUUAAGUCAGCGGUUAAAUCGUGGGGCUCAACCCCAUUCUGCCGUUGAUACUGGGUGGCUUGAUUGCGGUCGAGGUUGGCGGAAGUCGUUGUGUAGCGGUGAAAUGCAUAGAUAUGACGAAGAACACCGAUUGCGUAGGCAGCUGACCAGACCGCAAAUGACGCUCAUGCACGAAAGUGCGGGGAUCGAACAGGAUUAGAUACCCUGGUAGUCCGCACAGUAAACGAUGAAUACUUGUUUUCGGCGAUAUAAUGUCGGAGGCAAAGCGAAAGCGAUAAGUAUUCCACCUGGGGAGUACGCCGGCAACGGUGAAACUCAAAUGAAUUGACGGGG
rnacentral:rRNA from 1 species